rnacentral:lncRNA from 1 species
CGCCUCCACCGCACUGGUGGUGCCGGACCAGCGCACCUUCCGGACACAGGUGCGGGCGGGGCCGUGGAGUAGUGGUGUGCGUAGGGUGGCGGGGUGCCUGCUGGGCGGCAUCGUGGGCCAACCAUGCCAAAACGGAGCUCACUACGUGCAAAGCAAGCCGAGAAUGGGGUUCGGGAGCCGCCUGGGGGCCGAAGUCGUCCGUAGGAGCUCCCAAGCAUGCACAACCACCUACACAACCACCUUGACGAACCCAGGCGAAAGCAUGCGCGCAUCUUGCCUUUCCAUGCGUGGCGCCUGAUGCCGCUGCUCCCCUGCUACCGCUGCCGCCCCCCUACCCAUGUGACUGCUGCUGCCGCCCGCCCGCAGCACAACUGCCUGCCGCCCGGUUACCUGGAGCGGCUGGGGUCGGAGCUGCGGUCGCUGCCCGCCUCCACCCGUCACGUGGUCGUGAUGCUGGCGGGACCCAUCCUGUACCCGUCGCUGCCGGUGCAGGCGACGCUGCAGGUGGGCCGGGUGGGUGCAUGGGCGGGCGGAUGCUAGGGACGUCGUGCCGAGCUUGUUGGGGUGCAGAUGAGAUUCGGCUGUGCUUGCUUCUCGUGCACGGCCCGCCUGGUUGCUGCGGCUGCUGCACUGCAAGGGCGGGCUCAGCGGGCUGUUCUAGCUGUUCAUUGCUAACCUGUUGCUGCU